CAUAUCUAUACUUAUUAUCCCUUUUUUUCUAAUGAGCUUCCUUGCGAUUGAUCAGCAUCAAAGGGAAUACCCACAACAAUUGAUCAGCAUCAAAGGGAAUACCCACAACAAUACAUCAAGAUAUUACCUGAAAUACACUAAUAAGCAAACACUAUUUGGUUGGAAGAUAGAAAAAUCAAUUCCAAGUGCAGUACAUAAGUCCCGAUUGGCCUUUAUGUGAGCUACUCUAUUCCAUUCUGCUAUGACUACUUUGAUAUCUACAAGCGCAUAAUGAAGCACUCCAUCAUCAGGAAUGAUGAUAUUGGAUUGGUAAAUCUGACUAAACUCAAGCUUUUCUUUUCUUUCAUGGUGACUUCUCAGAUUAAGAAACUCAAUUGCAGAACUAUGUUAACAAAAUGGCACUUCUCACAUGUGCAGAAACAUCUCAUCAGAGGUUGUUUUCAUUAGGUAGAAAUU
rnacentral:lncRNA from 1 species